UACGAAGGGGGCUAGCGUUGCUCGGAUUGACUGGGCGUAAAGGGCGCGUAGGCGGUUCGUACAGUCAGACGUGAAAUUCCCGGGCUCAACCUGGGGGCUGCGUUUGAUACGUACGGGCUUGAGUUCGGAAGAGGGUCGUGGAAUUCCCAGUGUAGAGGUGAAAUUCGUAGAUAUUGGGAAGAACACCGGUGGCGAAGGCGGCGACCUGGUCCGAUACUGACGCUGAGGCGCGAAAGCGUGGGGAGCAAACAGG
rnacentral:rRNA from 1 species